rnacentral:rRNA from 1 species
AGUGAACGCUGGCGGUAGGCCUAACACAUGCGAGUCGAACGGCAGCACAGUAAGAGCUUGCUCUUACGGGUGGCGAGUGGCGGACGGGUGAGGAAUACAUCGGAAUCUACUUUUUCGUGGGGGAUAACGUAGGGAAACUUACGCUAAUACCGCAUACGACCUACGGGUGAAAGCAGGGGAUCUUCGGACCUUGCGCGAUUGAAUGAGCCGAUGUCGGAUUAGCUAGUUGGCGGGGCAAAGGCCCACCAAGGCGACGAUCCGUAGCUGGUCUGAGAGGAUGAUCAGCCACACUGGAACUGAGACACGGUCCAGACUCCUACGGGAGGCAGCAGUGGGGAAUAUUGGACAAUGGGCGCAAGCCUGAUCCAGCCAUACCGCGUGGGUGAAGAAGGCCUUCGGGUUGUAAAGGCCUUUUGUUGGGAAAGAAAAGCAGCAGGUUAAUACCCCGCUGUUCUGACGGUACCCAAAGAAUAAGCACCGGCUAACUUCGUG